GCUGGACAUGGUGGAGCAUGCCUGUAAUCCUAGCUACUUGGAAGGCUGAAACAGGAGGAUUGCAAGGUCAAGGCCAGCCUGCGCAGCUUGGUGAGACCCUGUCUCAA
rnacentral:sRNA from 1 species